UCUACGGGAGGCAGCAGUGAGGAAUAUUGGUCAAUGGGCGAGAGCCUGAACCAGCCAAGUCGCGUGAAGGAUGACGGCCCUACGGGUUGUAAACUUCUUUUGUCAGGGAGCAAUUGAGUCCACGUGUGGGCUUAGCGAGAGUACCUGAAGAAAAAGCAUCGGCUAACUCCGUGCCAGCAGCCGCGGUAAGACGGAGGAUGCGAGCGUUAUACGGAUUGAUUGGGUUUAAAGGGUGCGUAGGCGGAAUAUCAAGUCAGCGGUAUAAAUUCGGGGCUCAACCCCGUCGUGCCGUUGGAACUGAUUUUCUUGAGGGGGCGAGAAGUAUGCGGAAUGCGUGGUGUAGCGGUGAAAUGCAUAGAUAUCACGCAGAACUCCGAUUGCGAAGGCAGCAUACCGGCGCCCAACUGACGCUGAAGCACGAAAGCGUGGGUAUCGAACAGGAUUAGAUACCCCAGUAGUC
rnacentral:rRNA from 1 species